rnacentral:tRNA from 10 species
CCUAGUGGUAACAAAUUCCCUUAACACUUGCUUGUCUGGAAACAAUUACUUUUUUCUCCUUUACUUUCACAGCUUAACUUGGCAGUGUGUGAAAUUGUUUAUUGGAAUUCCUUUUAUUAGAGAAUGCUGGAAAUAGGCCCCCAAUCUGUCCUGGCCUGUAAGGUUUCUGCCAAGAAGGCUGAUGUUAUCCUGAUGGGGUUCACUUUGUAUGUGAUCUAGCUACCUUUAAGAUUUUUUCUUUAGCAUCAAUAUUAGACAGUCUGGUAACUAUAGGCCUUGGUGAUAUUCUUUUUGUAUAGUGUCUCACAGGUGUUCUCCUCUGGAAAUUUUGUAUCUAAAUGUUUACCUCUCUAGCAAAAUUAGGAAAUUUUUUUGAAUUAUUCCCUCAAAUAUGUUUUCUAGGUUGUUUACUUUUCUCUUUCUCUCUUAGUAGUGCCAAUAAUUCAUAGGUUUGGUCACUUUCCAUAAUCCCAUAUUUCUUGAAUAUUGUGUUCACUUUUUUAACUUUUUUUUCUUUGUUUUUAUCUGACUGGGUUAGUUCAGAAGACCUUUCUUCAAGCUCUGAAAUUCAUUCUUCUGCCUGGUCUAGUCUAUUGAUAAAGUUUUUUGUUUGUUUGUUUGUUUGUCUGUUUGUUUUUUGAGAAAGGGUCUCAUUCUGUUGCCCAGACUGGCAUGCAGUGGCAUGAUCACAGCUCACUGCAGCCUUGACCGGAUCUCCCUGACCUCCCAGGAUCAGGUGAUUCUGCCACCUUAGUCUCUCAUGUAGCUGGGACCACAGGCAUAUGCCACCACUCUUAGCUAAUUUUUUUUUUUUUUUUUUUUUUGGAGAGACAAGGUUUUGUCAUGUUGCCAAGGCUAGUCUCAAACUCCUGAGUUCAAGCAGUACACCCAUCUUCGACCUCCCAUAGUGUUGAGAUUAUAAGCCACCACGCCUGGCCAAUUGUAUUUUGAAAUUCCUUAAAUGAGACUUUCAAUUUCAGAAGCUCUGAUUGGUUUCUUUUUUUAAAGAUGUUUGUCUCUUCCUUCAUCUUCUGGAUUGCUUUAGAAGUUUCUUUGUGUUGAUUUUCAACUUUGCACUGGAUUUCAUUGAGCUUCUUUGCAAUCCAUGCUUUGAGUUCCUUAUCUCAUUUCCAAGUUCCCAUUUUGGUUAGGGACCAUUGCUGGAGAGCUAGUGUGAUCCUUUGCUGGUGUCACUGCAUUAAGAUUUUUCAUGGUGCCAGAAUUCAUGUGCUGGUUCCUUCUCAUCAGUAGAUGCUGGCACUUCUAAUUUUUGUAAUUACUUUCCGGCAAGUAUGAUUUUUUUUUCCUUCUUUUCCAAUAAAGUUUUUUUCUUUCCCUUUCCCUUUCCCCUCCUCUUUAGAGAGUGGGACUGUAGACAAUGUUUGGCGGUGUCUUUUGGCUUUGCUUAUAUAGCCCUAUACACUUGUCAGCUUUAUAUUGGUCUGUGCAGUUUAACCUACAAGCCAGUAGAUGGAGCUUAGAGGUAAGAGCCAGCUGUGGCCAAUAGAACUGGGUAUAUACUUGAUCCUUGUUUACUGGGAUAAGCUCUCUGUUGCCCCAGGCAAUAAGCUGAUCUGUGAAGUGUACAGUGGUCUGAGCUCCCUGCUCAGCCCUAGGGGUUGGGGGACAAGGUAGGUGCUGCCAGAUCAGGCAGAUCCACCUCAGGUCCCCAUAUGGCUAGCACAAGCACCAGUGCCAAGAGACAAUCCAGUGGGUGGCCAGCAAGGACCCAGAGGUGUGCCUAGGUGUGAAGCUGAGAAACUGCUUCAGCCACAAGUUUUCUGCAAGGGGAAGGGAAGCAGCCUAAACUCCUAAUCCAGCAGAGUGAGUGUUCCAGAUGCCAGAAAAUCUGCCUGGGCAUGGUGUAUAGUGAACCCCAUUGCACCACAAUCUCUGCACAACAAGGGUUGGGUGGCUCAGGCUGCUGUUCCCAGUGAACAGGUGUUCUGGCUGCCUGGAGAUCUGCCUGGGUGUGGAGUGUAGACGGCCCAACUUCACCAAGAUCUCUACACAAGAUGGGUAGAGUAGCUGAAGCUGCUGAUCUGGGCAAGCAGACUUGCCCGGACUUCCUGGAGAUCUGCCUGGGCACAGAACAUAGUGGACCCCCUGCACCAAGAUCUCUGCACAGAAGGGGUGGAGAAACUCAGGCUGCUUGCCCAAAAAGACUGCACAAAGCACGAUUCCCUUGUACUAGGGCGCAUCCUGCGGCUGCAUCCUGCGCAUGAGAUGGACAUGAAGGGAACUCAGCUCCACCAAGAUCCGCCUGCAUGACCAGACCCUGAUGCGGGCAUUAGAGACGCGCCCGUGGAAUGCAGCCUAGUCUGACUGAGAACAGCCCUGUGAAUACAAAUGUUUCUAAAAUGGCUGACUCUGUACAAGAGUAAAUAAGAACCUUUCCAGCUUUUCAUUUAGUCACAAGAUCAGGAGGUCUCGUCACCCCAAAUAGAGUAGAGAAUUGAGGUAGUUUUCCAGCUGAGCCAGGCAAAGUAAGAAGAUGGGGGAAGGUGACUUUCCCAGCAAAGACCUUGCCUUUUAAUGUUCUUUUUAAAAGAAUAGAGCUCAGACUGAACUAAUCCCCCAUGAAUAUAUGCCUUAGGAAAUAAUUUUUAUUAAUAGCUGAAUAUUUUUACUUUCUUUCCCAGGCACCCAAAUAUUAGGCUUAUGAUAUUUAGUUGCAUGCAUAUAUCAUUGUGUCAAAGAAAAGGGGGAAAUCCAGCCUUAAUAAAAAAUAAUUUAUUAACUUUUCCAGGUCCUAUAAAUUUAAUAUGCUGUGGGUUCCUGCUCUCAUUGCAGAUUUCUUUUAGAAGUAUAUUUAUGAGUAUGAGCUUAUAAUAUUUUUCAACAGUUUAUCGGUAAAUACCAACAAAACAAAGAUCUCUGAUGCACAUAAUCCACAGAAACAUGGUUCGGGUGACUACAUGUCAGUUAGCCAUGCUAUUUGUUUUGUGUCAUUUUUCUCUCAACCAGUUCAUUUCUUUCCCCAAGAGAAAUAGCUGAAGCUGGUUUAUAUUGCUCCAUAAAUGUUAAGCAUUGAUGUAUUCAUUUUCUGAACACAAAAUAACAAUAAUUUUUUGUCACCCUCCUUCUAAAUCAUACUCCCUGUUCUUAACACUAUGUUUUAUGUUGUUGUUGUCGUUGUUAGGAUGCAAGUUUAUUUUAUUCUUUUUUGCAGUAAUAAUAACCACAAAAUAUAAUCUCUGUAUAAAUAUAAUUUUUCUUCUCCAUAAUUGCACAUAAAAUCUAUCCUACUUGGAAACUGCAGCAAGUAGAAGAAUCACUAUAAAUGCUGGCCUCAGGGAAUCUACGAUUUCUUCAAGAUUUAAGGCAGAAAUAUUCAGAGGCCAGGUUACUCAAACAAGACCAACCAUUUUUUGUUAGUUUUUUUAUUUUUCUUUUCUGCAAAAUAUUACCUAAAGGUAGCCCUAAGCACUAAGGGAUUGAGGUUUCUAUUUAGUCUACAACUGAACUAACAGGUUUUUGCUACCUGUGGGUAUCAACUUGGGAUUUCAGUUAGUUAAGCAGCUUUGGAUCUAAAAUAAAACACUUAAGGGACCAGUGAAAAUGUAGAUUGCAAGAAAUCUGCAGACUUUGGAACUUAUCAAUUUAUUAAAAUUUACUUUUUUUUAGAACAAUUUUAGGCUUACAGAAAAACUCUAAAGAGAGUAUAGAGAAUUCCCACAUAUUCCGUACUUACAUUCCCCUUCGUGUCUGACUGAAACCCCAUCUGUGUGCCCUCUCUUUACAUAAAUGUAAUAAAACCUAGGCAUUAUUAUAUUUUUGUAUUUCCUACUGUGUCUAUAUGUGCUCAUUCAUGCUAUGCCCUAACAAUUAUAUAUGUAUUAUAUAUAUAUACACAUUACAUGCAUAAUAUACAUAUAUAUUAUAUGUAUGUAUGUGUAUGUGUUGUAGAUAUGAAAAUUGAUAUUUUGUAUUUUAAAUUUGGGAAUAGAAAUCUAUAGUACUGCCCGAAUAAUGCCAUCGCACUUGGCUUAAGAAACCAAGAACAGCUUUGAGAGGUGAGAGAGUCCAUGGAAAGCUGGAAUCUGUCCACCUUCUGAUGAAAUUUGACCCUCUAGGGGGAACUACCAAUAGGGUAAAAGAUGCCACCUCUGCUGUGAAACCUACACCACAGCCUUUGCUCUUUGUAUUAAUUCUGGACUUAUUUCUAAGGAUCAAGGAUAGUGGAGCAUGGUAGAAAGAAUUUUGUAAUAUUAUCAAAUGUUUCAACCUCUUAUCUUUGAAAUAUAGGGUUGGGACUAAAUAAUCUUUAAAGUCCCUUCUCAGUCAUAAUAUUGCGUGGGGCAGAGGUGAAAGGAGUGCUUUAUAUGGAUAAAGAAAAAUUCUCAUCAAUCUGUAUCCUUUUGUCCUGUGCAUUAUCAAAAGAAAGACAAAAAUAUAGAAUUUGCUUUAAGCCAUGUUUAUUCCAAGCUAAUGUAAAAUUGAGAAGUUUGAUUAAAAAUCAAACAUGUUGAAAAUACUUAGAAGUAUAAUGGGCCGUGGAGAAACAUUAGAGAUUUUGUCCUUAAAAAAGGUAAAAGUCUUUGAAUAACAUUUACUUAAUAAAUGAUUUGAUGUUUCUUUCAUCAGAAUUAUUGUUUGUGCAAUUGUCUUUUCACUAUGCUGU